AACAUUUCUAGCUUGCUAGAAGAUGACGAGCGGCGGACGGGUGAGUAAUACUUAGGAAUCUACCUAGUAGUGGGGGAUAGCUCGGGGAAACUCGAAUUAAUACCGCAUACGACCUACGGGAGAAAGGGGGCAGUUUACUGCUCUCGCUAUUAGAUGAGCCUAAGUCGGAUUAGCUAGAUGGUGGGGUAAAGGCCUACCAUGGCGACGAUCUGUAGCUGGUCUGAGAGGAUGAUCAGCCACACCGGGACUGAGACACGGCCCGGACUCCUACGGGAGGCAGCAGUGGGGAAUAUUGGACAAUGGGGGAAACCCUGAUCCAGCCAUGCCGCGUGUGUGAAGAAGGCCUUUUGGUUGUAAAGCACUUUAAGCAGUGAAGAAGACUCUUCGGUUAAUACCCGGAGACGAUGACAUUAGCUGCAGAAUAAGCACCGGCUAACUCUGUGCCAGCAGCCGCGGUAAUACAGAGGGUGCAAGCGUUAAUCGGAAUUACUGGGCGUAAAGGGAGCGUAGGUGGCUCGAUAAGUCAGAUGUGAAAUCCCCGGGCUCAACCUGGGAACUGCAUCUGAUACUGUUGAGCUAGAGUAUGUGAGAGGAAGGUAGAAUUCCAGGUGUAGCGGUGAAAUGCGUAGAGAUCUGGAGGAAUACCGAUGGCGAAGGCAGCCUUCUGGCAUAAUACUGACACUGAGGCUCGAAAGCGUGGGUAGCAAACAGGAUUAGAUACCCUGGUAGUCCACGCCGUAAACGAUGUCUACUAGUCGUUGGGUCCCUUGAGGACUUAGUGACGCAGCUAACGCAAUAAGUAGACCGCCUGGGGAGUACGGCCGCAAGGUUAAAACUCAAAUGAAUUGACGGGGGCCCGCACAAGCGGUGGAGCAUGUGGUUUAAUUCGAUGCAACGCGAAGAACCUUACCUGGUCUUGACAUAUCUAGAAUCCUGCAGAGAUGCGGGAGUGCCUUCGGGAAUUAGAAUACAGGUGCUGCAUGGCUGUCGUCAGCUCGUGUCGUGAGAUGUUGGGUUAAGUCCCGCAACGAGCGCAACCCUUGUCCUUAGUUACCAGCGGGUUAAGCCGGGAACUCUAAGGAUACUGCCAGUGACAAACUGGAGGAAGGCGGGGACGACGUCAAGUCAUCAUGGCCCUUACGACCAGGGCUACACACGUGCUACAAUGGUAGGUACAGAGGGCAGCUACACAGCGAUGUGAUGCGAAUCUCAAAAAGCCUAUCGUAGUCCAGAUUGGAGUCUGCAACUCGACUCCAUGAAGUAGGAAUCGCUAGUAAUCGCGGAUCAGAAUGCCGCGGUGAAUACGUUCCCGGGCCUUGUACACACCGCCCGUCAC
rnacentral:rRNA from 1 species